AUUAAUAAUUAAUAUAUUUAAUAAAAAUAAUUUUAAUUUAAUAAGUAUUUUAAUGGGGGUUAAAGUAUUUUUUAAAGAAAAAAUUUUUAAAUUUAUAGUUAAUUAGUAUUGUGAAAGAAUUUUGAAAUAUUAUGAAAAAUAAAAUUUUUAGAAAGUAAUUUUUAUUUAUUGUAUCUUGUGUAUCAGAGUUUAUUAAAAAUUUUUAAUUUAUGAAUUAAUUUCUCGAAUUUAAAAGAGUUAAAUAAUUAUUAAAGUUAUUGUAGCAAAAUUAUUUUAAAUAAUUAUUUAGAAAUGAAAUGUUAAUCGUUUUUAAAUAUAUCUAGUUUUUAUAGAAAAAAAUUUAAUUUUAAAUUUAAAAAUUAUUUAAUUAAUUUAUUAAUUAAAUAGUUACUUAAAUUUUAUAAUUUAAGGGAUAAGCUUUAAAUUAAAUUUUUAUAAUAUUAAAUUUUUAUUUUGAAAAUUUUAUAAUUUAUAUUGUUAAUAAAUUUUAUUUUGUUAUAAAUAAUUUCAUUUUUUUUAAAAUUUAAAUUUUAUUUAAUUUUUUAUAUAAAAUUUAUUUAUAAUUAUAUAAAGUUAAUUAUAAUGAUAAAAUUAGUAUAUUAUUUAAUAUUAAAUUAAAAUUAAUUUUUGAUUAAUAAUUAAAUUAAUUAAAAGGAAUUCGGCAAAUAUUUAUUUUCACUUGUUUAUCAAAAACAUGUCUUUUUGUUAUUUAAUUUAAAGUCUAAUCUGCCCACUGAUUUAUAAAAAUUGAAGGGCUGCAGUAUAUUGACUGUACAAAGGUAGCAUAAUCAUUAGUCUCUUAAUUGGUGACUUGUAUGAAAGAUUGGAUGAAAAAUAUACUGUCUCUUAAUUAAUAUAUAGAAUUUAAUUUUUUAUUUAAAAAGUUAAAAUAACUUAAAAAGACGAGAAGACCCUAUAGAGUUUAAUAAAUUAUUUAUGAAAGUUUUAUUUAUAUUUAUUAAUAAUUUUAUAAAUUUAUUUAUUUAGUUGGGGUGAUAAAAAAAUAAAUUUAACUUUUUUUAAGUAAUUUACAUGGAUAAGUGAUUAAU
rnacentral:rRNA from 1 species